rnacentral:rRNA from 1 species
UUCUUUAUGUUUUUUAUAUAAAGUAAUUUCUGCCCAAUGAUUAAUUUAUUUAAAUGGCUGCAGUAUAUUGACUGUACAAAGGUAGCAUAAUAAUUAGUUUUUUAAUUGGAAACUUGAAUGAAUGGAUAAAUGAGAGAUUAACUUUAUUAAUUUUAUUAUUAAAACUUUAUUUUUUAGUCAAAAAGCUAAGGUUUCUUUUAGGGACGAUAAGACCCUAUAGAACUUUUAAUUUAUAUUAAAUGAUUUUUAUUUGGGUUUAUUUUAUUUAUUUUAUAUGAUUUUUUAAUUGGGGUGAUUAAAAAAUUUUAUCUUUUUUUUCUUAAUUCAUUUGUUUAUGUAAUUUUUGAUCCUAAAUUUAGAUUUUAAGAUAAGUUACCUUAGGGAUAACAGCGUAAUUUUAAUGGAAAGUUCAUAUUUAAAUUAGAGUUUGCGACCUCGAUGUUGAAUUAAGAUAAGUCUAUGGUGAAGAAGUUUUAGAUUUAAGUCUGUUCGACUUUAAUUUCUUACA